GGCUCCUUCCUGGCCGAAUAGGGGACCGGCAGUCCCCUUCUUUGCCGGGCCAUUCAGACCGCGGCCGCCACGGCGGAGGCCGGCGGCAGAGGGGAGCCACUCCCCCGGCUACGGAGAGACAUGACCGGCGGUCGAUUGCGAUCGCCAGCGCGGCGCCAGAAAAUUCAAAGAAAAGAGGCCAAAACAGGGGUAUCUUUUUCGACCAAGAAUCGGCGACUCCCGUUGCCGGCAGCCGCGCACAAAGGCACGGGAGGAAGGGGAA
rnacentral:lncRNA from 1 species